GACCCGGUAGCUCAAUCGGAUAGAGUGUCUGCCUACGAAGCAGAAGGUUUGCGGGUUCGAGCCCCGCCCGGGUCG
rnacentral:tRNA from 1 species